GAUCCUGGCUCAGAUUGAACGCUGGCGGCAGGCCUAACACAUGCAAGUCGAGCGGAUGAAAGGGGCUUGCUCCUGGAUUCAGCGGCGGACGGGUGAGUAAUGCGCAGGAAUCUACCUAGUAGUGGGGGAUAACGUUUCGAAAGGAACGCUAAUACCGCAUACGUUCUGAGGAAGAAAGCAGGGGAUCGUAAGACCUUGCGCUAUUAGAUGAGCUUGCGUCCGAUUAGCUAGUUGGUGGGGUAAAGGCCUACCAAGGCGACGAUCGGUAACUGGUCUGAGAGGAUGAUCAGUCACACUGGAACUGAGACACGGUCCAGACUCCUACGGGAGGCAGCAGUGGGGAAUAUUGGACAAUGGGCGCAAGCCUGAUCCAGCAAUGCCGCGUGCAGGAAGAAGGCCUUCGGGUUGUAAACUGCUUUUGUCAGGGAAGAAAUCUUCUGGGCUAAUACCCCGGGAGGACGACGGUACCUGAAGAAUAAGCACCGGCUAACUACGUG
rnacentral:rRNA from 1 species